rnacentral:lncRNA from 1 species
CGCCAUCAAAACAGAAUAAAUCGCGUCAACACGAUGAGGCCGAAUCAACGUCAAGAACAAGAAAUUAGCAGCAACUUUGGAUAAUAAAACCCAUAAAGUUAAUACUCAUCAAGUUCACCAGUUUCGAAAUCUCCAAUCAUUUUGACUUUGAAGAAACUCAGUAUGAUGAUAAUAGUUUUGGAAAAUACAUUUCCUCCGACUCCUGGUCUCAACAAAUGUUCACAUCUCCACUUUUUUAAAUAUUUCUUCAAAUUACUUCGUGUUAGAUUUGGAUUUUAAUGAUAGACAAUAACUUAAUUCUACUUGCAGGAAAUCAAUCCCACGGGAUGUGAAAAAUAUUCUAACAGAAGAACUCGAAGCAUAAAUCAAGGAGGCAAGAAUCAAGUUGUAGCCUUGCAUUAUAUGGGAACUGGAUAUUCGAAUCAACUAUUUACGGAAGGCAUAAAUCAAUCAGCAUAAAAUGAUCAUUCAAUCAAUAUAGAAGAUCAAUCAUGUGGAUAAUCGAAUCAAUCAUUUAUGGAAGGCAUCAAUCAACCUGUAUUCUAUCCAAUGAACUCACAAGGAAAAGAAAAUCCAGGAAGCAGCAAAAGGAAGAGUCCAUUCUAUUUUUGGUGCAUAGAAGAUUCUCUGAGAAUAUUCUCUCCAACGACUCACAAGGAAAAGGAAAUCAAGGAAGUAGUGAAAGGAAGAGUCCAUCCUAUUUCUAGAAUGAAAUCAUCUUAAUUGAUUACGGAAAUCAACUCCCUUGGGUUGCUGUUCAAUCAUCACAUUAUCACGCCAUGAAGAAUGGGGACCAACUCACCAUAUAUAUUAUAUAGAAGCCGCCAAGGAUCCAUAUACUUUGAUCAAACCAAAAUCAAUAUAUUUGUUCUACUUCAAGCAAACACUAUGAUCGAAAGGAUGUUGAUGUAUAAUAACAUCAACGAAUUUGUACUAAGUCACUUAAUAUUUGAAAGAGAGUACCCUUGCAACCCAAGG